rnacentral:rRNA from 1 species
UACGAAGGGGGGCUAGCGUUGCUCGGAAUCACUGGGCUUAAAGGGCGCGUAGGCGGCUCGUCAAGUCGGGGGUGAAAGCCUGUGGCUCAACCACAGAAUUGCCUUCGAUACUGUUUGGCUUGAGACCGGAAGAGGACAGCGGAACUGCGAGUGUAGAGGUGAAAUUCGUAGAUAUCUGGAGGAACACCGGUGGCGAAGGCGGCAUCCUGGACCGGCAUUGACGCUGAGGCGCGAAAGCCAGGGGAGCAAACGGG